AGAGUUUGAUCCUGGCUCAGGACGAACGCUGGCGGCACGCUUAACACAUGCAAGUCGAACGAGAGAAGAGAAGCUUGCUUUUCUGAUCUAGUGGCGGACGGGUGAGUAACACGUGAGCAAUCUGCCUUUCAGAGGGGGAUACCGAUUGGAAACGAUCGUUAAUACCGCAUAACAUAAUUGAACCGCAUGAUUUGAUUAUCAAAGAUUUAUCGCUGAAAGAUGAGCUCGCGUCUGAUUAGCUAGUUGGUAAGGUAACGGCUUACCAAGGCGACGAUCAGUAGCCGGACUGAGAGGUUGAUCGGCCACAUUGGGACUGAGACACGGCCCAGACUCCUACGGGAGGCAGCAGUGGGGAAUAUUGCACAAUGGAGGAAACUCUGAUGCAGCGAUGCCGCGUGAGGGAAGAAGGUUUUAGGAUUGUAAACCUCUGUCUUCAGGGACGAAAAAAGACGGUACCUGAGGAGGAAGCUCCGGCUAACUACGUGCCAGCAGCCGCGGUAAUACGUAGGGAGCGAGCGUUGUCCGGAAUUACUGGGUGUAAAGGGAGCGUAGGCGGGAUCGCAAGUCAGAUGUGAAAACUAUGGGCUUAACCCAUAAACUGCAUUUGAAACUGUGGUUCUUGAGUGAAGUAGAGGUAAGCGGAAUUCCUAGUGUAGCGGUGAAAUGCGUAGAUAUUAGGAGGAACAUCAGUGGCGAAGGCGGCUUACUGGGCUUUAACUGACGCUGAGGCUCGAAAGCGUGGGGAGCAAACAGGAUUAGAUACCCUGGUAGUCCACGCCGUAAACGAUGAUUACUAGGUGUGGGGGGACUGACCCCUUCCGUGCCGCAGCAAACGCAAUAAGUAAUCCACCUGGGGAGUACGACCGCAAGGUUGAAACUCAAAGGAAUUGACGGGGGCCCGCACAAGCAGUGGAGUAUGUGGUUUAAUUCGACGCAACGCGAAGAACCUUACCAAGUCUUGACAUCCCUUGACGAUGCUGGAAACAGUAUUUCUCUUCGGAGCAAGGAGACAGGUGGUGCAUGGUUGUCGUCAGCUCGUGUCGUGAGAUGUUGGGUUAAGUCCCGCAACGAGCGCAACCCUUACUGUUAGUUGCUACGCAAGAGCACUCUAGCAGGACUGCCGUUGACAAAACGGAGGAAGGUGGGGAUGACGUCAAAUCAUCAUGCCCCUUAUGACCUGGGCUACACACGUACUACAAUGGCGAUCGAACAGAGGGAAGCAAGACAGCGAUGUGGAGCCAAUCCCAAAAAAUCGCCCCAGUUCAGAUUGCAGGCUGCAACUCGCCUGCAUGAAGUCGGAAUUGCUAGUAAUCGCGGAUCAGCAUGCCGCGGUGAAUACGUUCCCGGGCCUUGUACACACCGCCCGUCACACCAUGGGAGUCGGUAACACCCAAAGCCGGUCGUCUAACCUUCGGGAGGACGCCGUCUAAGGUGGGAUUGAUGACUGGGGUGAAGUCGUAACAAGGUAGCCGUAUCGGAAGGGGGGGGUG
rnacentral:rRNA from 1 species